AAAGUACUCCCUCCGUCCCAAAAUUCUUGUCUUAGAUUUGUCUAGAUACGGAUGUAUCAAGUCACAUUUUAGUAUUAGAUACAUCCAUAUCUAGACAAAUCUAAGACAAGAAAUUUGGGAUAGAGGGAGUAGUUG
rnacentral:pre_miRNA from 1 species